AUCCUCGAUCUGCUGCGGGCAGAUGAAGUGGAUGUGGCUGUCAAAGCCCCCGGCGGUCAGGAUCUUGCCCUCGCCCGCGAUGACCUCGGUCCCCGGGCCCACGAUGAUGUCGACGCCCGGCUGGGUGGUCGGGGUUGCCCGCCUUGCCGAUCCUGGCGAUGCGCCCGUCCUUGAGGCCCACGUCCGCCUUGUAGAUGCCGGUGGCAUCCACGAUCAGCGCGUUGGUGAUGACCGUGUCCAUGGCCCCGUCCGCGCGGGUCGCCUGGCUCUGGCCCAUGCCGUCGCGGAU
rnacentral:sRNA from 1 species